rnacentral:snRNA from 1 species
UGUCGACAAGCCAUGGCAAGACU